rnacentral:misc_RNA from 1 species
AAGUCGUAACAAGGUUUCCGUAGGUGAACCUGCGGAAGGAUCAUUAGCGAAGUUCGGAAUGCAUGUUCGAUGUUGAUGCUGCCCAGCAAUGGGAUGUGCUCGCUCGGAUGUGUGUCCCUUCUCUAUCCACCCCAUUGUGAACCAAGUGUGUGAGCCGAAGAGAAAUCGGACGCUCGCAUGCAAACCUUUAACAUACCCCAAUAAAGUAUCAGAAUGUACCUUGCGUUAACUCGCACAAAUAUAACUUUCAACAACGGAUCUCUUGGCUCUC